rnacentral:snRNA from 1 species
AGCUUUGUGCAGUGGCAGUAUCAUAGCCAUUGAGAUUUGUCCAAGGUACAAUUAUUGCUAAUUGAAAACGUUUCGGGGCCGGGCGCGGUGGCUCAAGCCUGUAAUCCCAGCGCUUUGGGAGGCCGAGACGGGC